AUUGAACGCUGGCGGCAGGCCUAACACAUGCAAGUCGAGCGGAUGAAGGGAGCUUGCUCCUGGAUUCAGCGGCGGACGGGUGAGUAAUGCCUAGGAAUCUGCCUGGUAGUGGGGGAUAACGUCCGGAAACGGGCGCUAAUACCGCAUACGUCCUGAGGGAGAAAGUGGGGGAUCUUCGGACCUCACGCUAUCAGAUGAGCCUAGGUCGGAUUAGCUAGUUGGUGGGGUAAAGGCCUACCAAGGCGACGAUCCGUAACUGGUCUGAGAGGAUGAUCAGUCACACUUGAACCGAGACAACGUUCAGGAUUCUAAGGGAGGGAGCAGUGGGGAAUAUUGGAAAAUGGGCGGAAGCCUGAUCCAGGCAUGGCGCGUGGGUGAAGAAGGGUUUCGGAAUGGAAAGCACUUUAAGUUGGGAGGAAGGGCAGUAAGUUAAUACCUUGCUGUUUUGACGUUACCAACAGAAUAAGCACCGGCUAACUUCGUG
rnacentral:rRNA from 1 species